rnacentral:rRNA from 1 species
UCCUAGUGGAGGUAGCAGUGGGGAAUUCUGGAGAAUGGGCGCAAGCCUGAUCCAGGAAUGCCCCGUGGAGGAUGAAGGCCUUCGGGUUGUAAACUGCUUUUGUACGGAACGAAACGGUUCUUUCUAAUAAAGAGGGCUAAUGACGGUACCGUAAGAAUAAGCACCGGCUAACUACGUGCCAGCAGCCGCGGUAAUACGUAGGGUGCGAGCGUUAAUCGGAAUUACUGGGCGUAAAGCGUGCCGGAGGCGGUAGAUGUAAGACCAGAUGUGAAAUCCCCGGGCUCAACCUGGGACCUGCAUUUGUGACUGCAUCGCUAGAGUACGGUAGAGGGGGAUGGUAUUCCGCGUGUGGCAGUGAAAUGCGUAGAUAUGCGGAGGAACACCGAUGGCGAAGGCAUCCCCCUGGACCUGUACUGACCCUCAUGCACGAAAGCGUGGGGAGCAAACAGGAUUAGAUACCCUGGUAGUCCACGCCCUAAACGAUGUCAACUGGUUUUGGGUCUUUGCUGACUCAGUAACGAAGCUAACGGCUGAAUUACCGCCCUGGGGAGUACGGCCGCAAGGUAAAACUCAAAGAAUGGAGGGACCCCAAGCGGGGAGGAGGGUUUAAUUGAUGCAACCGAAAAACCUACCACCUUUGACAUGUACGGAAUCCUUUAGAGAUAGAGGAGGGCUCGAAAGAGAGCCGGUAACACAGGUGCGGCAUGGGCGGUCGUCAGCUCGUGUCGUGAGAUGUUGGGUUAAGUCCCGCAAACGAGCGCAACCCUUGUCAUUAGUUGCUACAUUCAGUUGGGGCAACUCUAAUGAGGACUGCCGGUGACAAGCCGGAGAAGGUGGGGAGACGUCAAGUCUUCAUGGCCCUAUAGUGGGGCUACACACGUCAUACAAUGGCUGGUACAAAGGGUUGCCAACCCGCGAGGGGGAGCUAAUCCCACAAAGCCAGUCGUA